rnacentral:sRNA from 1 species
ACAGAUGGAAGUUUCCAGUGCAUUUGCAAUGCCGGCUUUGAAUUAACUACAGAUGGAAAAAACUGUGUUGAUCAUGAUGAAUGUACAACUACCAACAUGUGUUUGAAUGGAAUGUGCAUCAAUGAAGAUGGCAGCUUCAAGUGCAUCUGCAAACCAGGAUUUGUCUUGGCUCCAAAUGGGCGUUACUGUACUGAUGUUGAUGAAUGCCAGACCCCAGGAAUCUGCAUGAAUGGGCACUGCAUCAACAGUGAAGGGUCCUUCCGCUGUGACUGUCCCCCAGGCCUGGCUGUGGGCAUGGAUGGACGUGUGUGUGUUGAUACUCACAUGCGCAGUACCUGCUAUGGAGGAAUCAAGAAAGGAGUGUGUGUGCGUCCUUUCCCUGGUGCAGUGACCAAGUCUGAAUGCUGCUGUGCCAAUCCAGACUAUGGUUUUGGAGAACCCUGCCAGCCAUGCCCUGCAAAAAAUUCAGCUGAAUUCCACGGCCUUUGUAGUAGUGGAAUAGGUAUCACUGUGGAUGGAAGAGUAUAGCCUCUCCAGCAGAGCCAGCCUCUGUUGGAAACUACUUGAUCAUUCAUACAAGCACAUCAAUGCACAAGUUCUACUGCCCCUCAGUGAUAUAGUAGUAGUAGUCAUGCUCAUGGCUCAUUAUAAAACGUCACGUUCUGAAGCAUCCAUGUUUAAAGUGUCCUCUCCAUUAAUUUCACGUAUCAGCAAUGAGAAACACUUAUUAAAUAUUACUAAC